rnacentral:rRNA from 1 species
AUGAAGCUGGAGGGCAGGAAGAGGGCGGCCCCGAGCUCCGCGCUUCUGCUGCCGGCAGAAGAGCUCCUGGAGCUUGCCGCCGAGGGCGCCCCACCGCUUCCACGCAAGGAUGCUCUCCAGCUGGCGGUGGCCUGCGGGAUUGUUACCGCUUGGGACGACAGUUUCCUCUCUUGCACCAAAGUGUUUGCUGGCACUUUUGCCUUAACAUGUUGGCUUGAAUCGCGUGCUGACGACCUAUCUUUUGUGGUCACAAACGUUUACGGUCCCUGCAAUUAUGCUUCUAAACCCAUCUUCUUAUAAUCUCUGAUUGAUCUAAUGCCGCAAAUCUCCUGCCCGUGGACUGUCAUUGGUGACUUUAACAUCACCCUUAGACCUUCAGAUAAAUCAACGUCUCAUUUCAACAUGCAUGAAGCAAACAUUUUCUCCUCUGCCAUCAAUACGCUUCAGCUCCAGGAUCUCCCUCUUCUAGAUAGGCGCUACACCUGGUCAAACCAGCAGGAUGUGCCUAUUCUCGUGCGGCUAGAUCGGGCACUGGCAAACGUGGCCUGGGCGUCAAAAUUUCCAGAUACCUCACUCUCCUCGGUUACCAGGACAACCUCUGAUCACGUUCCUAUUCGUUUGACGGCAGCAACUACUAUCCCCAAAGCUUCGGUUUUCCGCCUUGAUCGCUCCCUUCUCAAUAUCCCCCUUUUUAGGGAAAGGGUUGCUACAAAUUGGGGAAGUGUGGGCUCCCGCCAUGCCCACCUCGGCUCUGCCGGUGUUCUUUCCUUGAAGCUAAAGCGCACCAGAAAUAUGGCCAAAAAGUGGAUGUCCAAUCGACGGUCACCUAGGACCAUGGCUAUAAACUGCCAUACCACUAUCAAUUUCCUCGAUAAGCUUGAGGAGGCCAGGCCGUUGUCCCAACUCGAAUCGGACCUUAGGAUUGCA